GCCACCCAGCUAUCUCCCGACAGUCGCUGCUGUUGGAAAUAUUUUAGCAGACCUAACAAGGCGACCAAUCCACACACACACCCUUCCAAAAAUACAACCCAAUCCUUACUCUGCUGCCUGCAAGGAGCCAUGCCAGAGAGUCUUGCCACUUCGGGACAGGACUCUGCUCUCUAUAGGUUUUACUGCUGCACACACGGUGCGCCCAGUUAAUGCAGUUGGAGCGCAAUUAUUCUCUAAUAGGCUGUUAAGCUUCAGCAGAGAGAUAUGUGAGCGCACAUGCACCACUGUUGCAUCCAAUUCAUCUUCCUGUAUGACGGAAAAGCGCCUGUGGUUCUCGUGACAUUAAGUCAAGUGCAAUAUUUCCAGUGCAAAUUAGGCUUCAGCAUGUGUCUCUGUGGUUUAUUUCUCCAUAAAUGUAGCCAUGCAUAUAGAUCCCUUUUGGUACCAUGUGUGCUGCUAGUAUGUUAUAUAUUCCUGUUUUACUAGGAAAAAAAUGUUUCUCUGUCUAGUUUCUUCUGCUUUCUAGUUCCCCUGUCUCCGUCUUGUCUGUCAUUUUUUUUUUAGUUUUUUUUUUCCAGUUUUACUUUGAAAGUUAGUUUUGCUGUAUUUUACUUCCUUUUUCCUCCUUUGUGGUUGUAUCCCUCAUCCUCAUCAGUUUCACCUGUUGCCCACCUGACUUUCAUCACUAAUCACACUUAUCUGCUACACUCACUGGCCCCUUUAUUAGGUACAGCUUACUAGUACAGGUUUGAGAUGAUUGGAGCGUUGUGAUAUGCUGCAUUACCCUGCAGGAAGCAGCCAUCAGAAGAUGGGAAUACUGUUCCCAUUAUGUCACUACCAACAACUUGACCUGUAAAUACAAGGCAGGAUGGAGUCAUGCUUUUAUGUUGUUUAUGGCAAAUUCUGACCUUACCAUUCAGGUGAGGCAACACAAAUGUCAUCAGGUCUGGUUUUUCCAAAUUACUCUUGUAUAAUUUUGGUGAACCUGUAUGAAUUAUAGCCUAUCUCCUUCAAGGUUUGACAUGUUGUACAUCAGAGAUUCUCUUCUGUAUAUAAUGAGUUGUUAUUUGAGUUACUGGUACCUUCCUAUUAGCUCAAAAGAGUCCGAUCUCUGGCAUCAAUAAGGCAUUUUCACACAGAGAAUUGGUGCUCACUGGAUAUUUUAUCUUUUUCAAACUGUUUUCUGCAAACCCUAGAGAGCACU
ensembl:lncRNA